rnacentral:rRNA from 1 species
UACGGGAGGCAGCAGUGGGGAAUAUUGCACAAUGGGCGCAAGCCUGAUGCAGCCAUGCCGCGUGUAUGAAGAAGGCCUUCGGGUUGUAAAGUACUUUCAGUCGUGAGGAAGGUGUUAAGGUUAAUAACCUUAGCAAUUGACGUUAGCGACAGAAGAAGCACCGGCUAGCUCCGUGCCAGCAGCCGCGGUAAUACGGAGGGUGCGAGCGUUAAUCGGAAUUACUGGGCGUAAAGGGCACGCAGGCGGUUAAUUAAGUUGGAUGUGAAAUCCCCGGGCUUAACCUGGGAAUGGCAUUCAAGACUGGUUAGCUAGAGUCUUGUAGAGGGGGUAGAAUUCCAUGUGUAGCGGUGAAAUGCGUAGAGAUGUGGAGGAAUACCGGUGGCGAAGGCGGCCCCUGGACAAAGACUGACGCUCAUGUGCGAAAGCGUGGGGAGCGAAACAGGAUUAGAUACC